rnacentral:rRNA from 1 species
AUACGGAGGAUCCGAGCGUUAUCCGGAUUUAUUGGGAUUAAAGGGAGCGUAGGUGGAUUGUUAAGUCAGUUGUGAAAGUUUGCGGCUCAACCGUACAAUUGCAGUUGAUACGGGCAGUCUUGAGUACCGUAGAGGUGGGCGGAAUUCGCUGUGUAGCGGUGAAAUGCUUAGAUAUUACGAAGAACUCCGAUUGCGAAGGCAGCUCACUAGACUGUUACUGACACUGAUGCUCGAAAGUGUGGGUAUCAAACAGGAUUAGAUCCCCUGGUAGUCCACACAGUAAACGAUGAAUACUCGCUGUUUGCGAUAUACAGUAAGCGGCCAAGCGAAAGCAUUAAGUAUUCCACCUGGGGAGUACGCCGGCAACGGUGAAACUUAAAGGAAUUGACGGGG